GAUGAACGCUGGCGGCGUGCUUAACACAUGCAAGUCGAACGAAGAUGCCGGAGUGCUUGCACUUUGGCAGACUGAGUGGCGGACGGGUGAGUAACGCGUGGGUAACCUGCCUUAUACAGGGGGAUAACAGUUGGAAACGACUGCUAAUACCGCAUAAGCGCACGGUAUCGCAUGAUACAGUGUGAAAAACUCCGGUGGUAUAAGAUGGACCCGCGUCUGAUUAGCUUGUUGGUGAGGUAACGGCCCACCAAGGCGACGAUCAGUAGCCGGCCUGAGAGGGUGAACGGCCACAUUGGGACUGAGACACGGCCCAAACUCCUACGGGAGGCAGCAGUGGGGAAUAUUGCACAAUGGGGGGAACCCUGAUGCAGCGACGCCGCGUGGAGGAAGAAGGUCUUCGGAUUGUAAACUCCUGUUGUUGAGGAAGAUAAUGACGGUACUCAACAAGGAAGUGACGGCUAACUACGUG
rnacentral:rRNA from 1 species